rnacentral:rRNA from 1 species
UACAGAGGGUGCAAGCGUUAAUCGGAAUUACUGGGCGUAAAGCGCACGUAGGUGGAUAUUUAAGUCGGAAGUGAAAGCCCUGGGCUUAACCUGGGAAUUGCCUCCGAUACUGGACAUCUAGAAUAUGGUAGAGGGUAGUGGAAUUUCCGGUGUAGCGGUGAAAUGCGUAGAUAUCGGAAGGAACACCAGUGGCGAAAGCGGCUACCUGGACCAAUAUUGACACUUAGGUGCGAAAGCGUGGGGAG